rnacentral:rRNA from 1 species
UACGUAGGGGGGCAAGCGUUGUCCGGAAUCAUUGGGCGUAAAGAGCGUGUAGGUGGCUCGGUAAGUCCGCUGUGAAAGUCCAGGGCUCAACCCCUGGAAAGCCGGUGGAAACUGUCGAGCUCGAGUCCGGAAGAGGCGAGUGGAAUUCCUGGUGUAGCGGUGAAAUGCGCAGAUAUCAGGAGGAACACCAAUGGCGAAGGCAGCUCGCUGGGACGGUACUGACACUGAGACGCGAAAGCGUGGGGAGCAAACAGG